rnacentral:rRNA from 1 species
AUUGAACGCUGGCGGCAGGCCUAACACAUGCAAGUAGAACGAGUGGCGGACGGGUGAGUAAUGUCUGGGAAACUGCCUGAUGGAGGGGGAUAACUACUGGAAACGGUAGCUAAUACCGCAUACCAUCGGAUGUGCCCAGAUGGGAUGAGCUGGUAGGGGGGGUAAAGGCUCACCUAGGCGACGAUCCCUAGCUGGUCGGAGAGGAUGACCAGCCACACCGAAACUGAGACACGUGCCAGACUCCUCCGGGAGGCAGCAGUGUGGAGUAUUUCACAAUGGGCGCAAGCCUGAUGCCGCCAUGCCGCGUGUAGGAAGAAGGCCUUCGGGUUUUAAAGUACUUUCAGCGGGGAGGCGUUACCCGCAGAAGAUGCACCGGCUAACUCCGUGCCAGCAGCCGCGGUAAUUC